UCGUCAGGUAGGCUAACCCUUACCUGUUCCUCCAUUCAGGGGGCAGAUAGUACACACGACUAGAGUCCACAUGAUUCAUGAUUAACGUCUCUGCGUGAUUGGGCUCUCAGCACCCUAGUCGCUCCUGUCUGAU